rnacentral:rRNA from 1 species
GAUGAACGCUGGCGGCGUGCCUAAUACAUGCAAGUCGAGCGAACAGACGAGGAGCUUGCUCCUCUGACGUUAGCGGCGGACGGGUGAGUAACACGUGGAUAACCUACCUAUAAGACUGGGAUAACUUCGGGAAACCGGAGCUAAUACCGGAUAAUAUAUUGAACCGCAUGGUUCAAUAGUGAAAGACGGUUUUGCUGUCACUUAUAGAUGGAUCCGCGCCGCAUUAGCUAGUUGGUAAGGUAACGGCUUACCAAGGCGACGAUGCGUGGCCGACCUGAGAGGGUGAUAGGCCACACUGGAACUGAGACACGGUCCAGACUCCUACGGGAGGCAGCAGUAGGGAAUCUUACGCAAUGGGCGAAAGCCUGACGGAGCAACGCCGCGUGAGUGAUGAAGGUCUUCGGAUCGUAAAACUCUGUUAUUAGGGAAGAACAAAUGUGUAAGUAACUAUGCACGUCUUGACGGUACCUAAUCAGAAAGCCACGGCUAACUACGUG